rnacentral:rRNA from 1 species
UACGAAGGGGGCUAGCGUUGUUCGGAAUUACUGGGCGUAAAGCGCGCGUAGGCGGCUUUGUAAGUCAGGGGUGAAAUCCCGGGGCUCAACCUCGGAACUGCCUUUGAUACUGCGAGUCUUGAGUCCGAUAGAGGUGGGUGGAAUUCCUAGUGUAGAGGUGAAAUUCGUAGAUAUUAGGAAGAACACCAGUGGCGAAGGCGGCCCACUGGAUCGGUACUGACGCUGAGGUGCGAAAGCGUGGGGAGCAAACAGG